UACGUAGGGGGCGAGCGUUGUCCGGAUUUAUUGGGCGUAAAGAGCGUGUAGGCGGCCAGGUAGGUCUGCUGUGAAAACUCGAGGCUCAACCUCGAGACGUCGGCGGAAACCAUCUGGCUAGAGUCCGGAAGAGGAGAGUGGAAUUCCUGGUGUAGCGGUGAAAUGCGCAGAUAUCAGGAAGAACACCGGUGGCGAAGGCGGAUCUCUGGGCCGUAACUGACGCUGAGGAGCGAAAGCAUGGGGAGCGAACAGG
rnacentral:rRNA from 1 species